GUUCAGAGGAAUGGCAUUUGUCUUCCCAAGUCAGGGAGCCCUGCUUUUCUGUGGAUGGAUAAACACCUGCAUUCCCAUGGGAAAUGAUAUCCCAGACUCAAUUCCAAGUGGGCUUUGGCCUUCCUCAUCACAUCCCUGCAUAUACUGACUGUUCCCGUAGUCCUCCCAUGUGACUUCACUCACUGACACUACUCUUGGAACCAGCUCUGGUGAGAAGCAGUACAGCACCUUCCUCGUGACAGGGUGAGAGUUAACAGCUGCACUGGAUGCACCCUAGCUCCACACUGAGCUAGCCCAGGUACAUCUGCAAUGGGUCAUAAGCAGCAGGAACUUGUAGUGACUCAAUUGCUUCAAAUAAAGCCAGACAGUAAAAGGAGUUACUGGAAAAUGGAAGGAGUAUAAAACAGGAGCAGAGCUCUACCACCUCUUGGUCCAGGAACAUCAUCUGGCAAGGGUGGCAUUCUCGCAGUGCACAGAGGAAGUCAAACAGAGGGAUGUGUUCACUUUGAAAGCAGCUAAGCUUAGAGGUGCACCUUGAAGGCUUGCUUUGACAAUCUGCUGAUUCACAUAUGGACCUGCAGAGAGUGUUCAUGGAAUCAGCCAUGGAGAAAAGCCCCUCACUUUAGAGGAAAGAGAUUGUUAAUUAAAAUUUUAACAUACAACACAGUAGAAUACAAUGAGCAAAACCAUGCAAAUAAAAAAAUAAUAAUAAACAAAGGCAAGAGAAUUAUGUAUUACAGGAACAUUGAAUGCACAAAUUUGUGAUUUUAAGGUGACGGGA